rnacentral:rRNA from 1 species
GACGAACCGUGCGAACGUUAUUCGGAAUCACUGGCUUAAAGCGCGUGUAGGCGGGACGGCACGUCGGUCGCUGAAAGCCCCCGGCUCAACCGGGGAACGGGCGCCGAUACGACCGUCCUGGAGGGACGUAGGGGGACCUGGAACUUCCGGUGGAGCGGUGAAAUGCGUUGAGAUCGGAAGGAACGCCCGUGGCGAAAGCGAGGUCCUGGACGUUUUCUGACGCUGAGACGCGAAAGCCAGGGGAGCGAACGGG